UACGUAGGGUGCGAGCGUUAAUCGGAAUUACUGGGCGUAAAGCGUGCGCAGGCGGUCAUGCAAGACAGAUGUGAAAUCCCCGGGCUCAACCUGGGAAUUGCAUUUGUGACUGCAUGGCUGGAGUGCGGCAGAGGGGGAUGGAAUUCCGCGUGUAGCAGUGAAAUGCGUAGAUAUGCGGAGGAACACCGAUGGCGAAGACAAUCCCCUGGGCCUGCACUGACGCUCAUGCACGAAAGCGUGGGGAGCAAACAGG
rnacentral:rRNA from 1 species